rnacentral:rRNA from 1 species
CCUACGGGAGGCAGCAGUGGGGAAUUUUGGACAAUGGGCGCAAGCCUGAUCCAGCAAUGCCGCGUGAGUGAAGAAGGCCUUCGGGUUGUAAAGCUCUUUUGUCAGGGAAGAAACGGUGAGGGCUAAUAUCCUUUGCUAAUGACGGUACCUGAAGAAUAAGCACCGGCUAACUACGUGCCAGCAGCCGCGGUAAUACGUAGGGUGCAAGCGUUAAUCGGAAUUACUGGGCGUAAAGCGUGCGCAGGCGGUUUUGUAAGUCUGAUGUGAAAUCCCCGGGCUCAACCUGGGAAUUGCAUUGGAGACUGCAAGGCUAGAAUCUGGCAGAGGGGGGUAGAAUUCCACGUGUAGCAGUGAAAUGCGUAGAUAUGUGGAGGAACACCGAUGGCGAAGGCAGCCCCCUGGGUCAAGAUUGACGCUCAUGCACGAAGACGUGGGGAGGACGAAACAAGGAGUUAGUAUACCCUACGGUACGUACCGACCGACCCUAAACCGAACUGUCUACUUAGUUGGUUCGGGUUCGUUAAUUAGUACGUU